CGCCCCACAGGACCACGACGGGCCCCCUCGAGCCCCGGUCACCUCUGCUCACUCUGCUCAGCCCACUGCAGCACCUCCGUGAUGAGGCAGACAGCCCGCCUGCGUCUGAACCCGGAUCUGCCGUGUGGCCCUGCCAGGGUGGAAUGCACACCCGGGACUUGUUGUAAUCAGCGAAGACUCACCGUCCACCUGCAAGAAGGAACCUGGAAGAGGUGCCCCCCCGACCCCCAGCUCCAGGCCUCUGCCCGCCUAGGGCUGUCUGUCCCCUGACUGCUGGCCGGACGUCACCCCGCCAGGGAGGGGCCGUAUCUGGGCCGCCCCCGCGUGGACGGCUCUGCCCAGCAUGUGCCCUCUCCCUCUGCGGGAAGGUGGGUGGACUCUGUGCACAGAGCCCAGUCCGAGCCCCUUACAGCCGGCCUCCCUCGGGCCUCAAUCCAGCCCAGGCCCUGGAAUUGUGUGGACUUAGAUUAAGGUAUCAAGUCUACCCUUUGCUGGCUGAAAGACCAAGCAGGCAGCAUGGAACCCACCACCCAAGUACCCUCCCUGAGACGUAGCACAGCGCCUGUUCCUAGAACCCACCACGUCCCAGGCACCAGCAUCAUCGUCCUCACAGUGGCCUUUCCUGCCUCUCCCUCCCUAGUCUCUGAGUGCCCUGAGGCCUGGGACAGUUCCUCCUCAUUUUCGUGGUUCUGGCACAGCGCAGGGGCCACGUGGGACAGCCCAGACGCUGAACUCGGGUGGAGCUCGCUGAACCCCGAUGCAGGCCCUGGACGGUGGUGCAAGUUGUCCACUGCACAAUACUAGGAGAGCCAUUCCCGGGGGGCUCACCCACCACCUACCAGCCGCGUGGCUCUGGGUUAAUUACUUGAUGGUGCUGCCCGAACGUGGCCUCUGUCCAUUGGUGCCGAAUAGAAAUGGGGCGACAGAGGUUGGGGUGAAGGGAAAAAAUAGCUUGGGUAGUUCUGCCAGGUAAAGAGGCCACAGCAGGCCAAUGCCUCAAAGACGGUGCCCUCCUCUGGGGAAGAGUUGCAGGGGGUUUUAUAGUUUAAGAGGAGGAAAGCAAGCUUUCCGCUAAGAAUCGGGAUUGGGACAAGCAUGCAUUUGUCUUUCUUUGGGGGAAUCUUCGUCAUCGGAGCUGGCAACGGGAGCUCGGCCUGAUCCUGCCGGGGGUCUUCUGGGUUCUUCCCGAGAAUGACGGCACUGGCGAAAAGGGACUUGAUCGGAGAUUCGAGCGAACUGGGAAAGUUCCUGAAGGAGCAUCUCGCACGAAUCAUCUCUAACCCAUAGGCAACUGUGCCCAGGGUGCCGCCUCUUUCGCUCACAGGCCUUCCAAGCGGAGCUGGCAGCCAUUCAUCACGGCCAGAUGACCACUGUCCCAAACCGGGAGCUGGCGACGCAGGUGAUGAAAGGCCCAUGUGCCCCCCCCCCAGGCCACCGAGGGCCCCAGGGCCGAGCGUGAAACUCCGCCUGUGACAAGCGUGACAACAAUAACACACCUUGUAGUCUCAUCUGUGCCGGCUGGGCCCUCGCUCGCUGUCCUCCUGCAGCCCCCAGGGGAGGGGGGGACAGUAGGAGGAACUGACUCCGGGGGGUGGAGGGAGGGCAGAGGCACUAACGCAGGGAGUUGGUGUCGCAGCCCAAACAGCCGCUCUGGCUCCCACCUGGGCUCCUCAUCCCAGGCCGCUGGCCAUUCCCUGGUGUGUCCCCCGGGGACCCCCCAGAAUCACAGCCUGGAAGCCCUAGGGGGGACUCAGAGAUAUGGCCCACCACCCAUCAUGCAGACGGAUGGGAGCUCCAAGCACAGGCCGAGGGCCCCAGCUC